UUUUUGCAGUAAUGAUUGAAUACACAACUUUAAGACAGUUUUGCUUCUGAAAAUUCAUGAUCAAUGGAGCUGUUAUUUACUCUGAGCAUUUU